UACGUAGGGGGCAAGCGUUGUCCGGAAUCAUUGGGCGUAAAGCGCGUGUAGGCGGUUGCGUAAGUCUGCUGUGAAAGUCGGAGGCUCAACCUUCGAAAGCCGGUGGAUACUGCGUGACUAGAGUACGGAAGAGGAGAGUGGAAUUCCUGGUGUAGCGGUGAAAUGCGCAGAUAUCAGGAGGAACACCAACGGCGAAGGCAGCUCUCUGGGACGUUACUGACGCUGAGACGCGAAAGCGUGGGGAGCAAACAGG
rnacentral:rRNA from 1 species